GGAACCUGCACACGAUGCGGUGCAUCGAUGGUCAGGGA
rfam:Synergistales bacterium 53_16 MPI_scaffold_266, whole genome shotgun sequence.